CUCUCUCUCUCUCUCUGUGUGUGUGUGUGCGUGUGUAUUUCCAAAAUUUCUUUCAUUCUUGGAUAUAAACAAAUAACCUGCAAAUUUUGCUUAUAAACUAUUUGGCAACUGUCAGCAAAGUUUCCUGGUGUGGACAAGGCUGAAGGUAACUGACAAACCUCUCGGGCAAGAAAGUGUGUAACAAGCUCAGUUCUGCAUCCCAUAACGCUGAUGAAAGAGCAAAAUGAUUGGUGAGUUUGAUUUGCGGUUCACAGAAGUUCAGUUCGGGUUUUUUGUGGAGGAUCAGUACCGCCCCGUCUGCCUUCACAACAAGGGGCAAUUCAUCUCCCUCGCCGCUGCCCACGAUCUAUUCCAACCCUCUAACUUGGGACAUGAAGGGCGAGGUUCAGAAGUACGCGACGGAGGUGGUGUCAAGCAGCGCAGAGGUUGGCAGUGACGAGAAGUGCCGGCAUCGUCAGUAGUGGGCGUGUCAGUGUUAGCACAAGCAUUUGAUACGUGAGGAGCGAG